CCACAUUCCCAGCUCUAGGUUAAUUUUUAUAUGGGGUGUGAGGCAUGGGUAUUGGAUCUUUCUUUUGCACAUGGCUAUCCAGCUAUCUCAAGACCAUUUGUUGAAAAGACUAUUAUUCUCCAGUGGGUUGUCUUGCCACUCUUGUUGAAAAUUAAUGGGCCAGAAAUAUAUACAUUUAUUUCUAGUCUCUUAGUUCUGUUUCAUUGGUCUAAAUGUCCUUUUGCCAGCACCUUGCUGUCUUGAUUCCUGCAACUUUGUAGUAAGGCUUUCAUACUGAGGUUUGAACUUAGGGCCUUAGUCUUACUAAGCAGGUACCCUAUACUAGUCGAGCUAUACUGUCAGCUCUGAUUCUCUUUAUUCUCUUUCACUGAUGUUUUGUGAUUUUUUAAAGUUUGAACUGUUAAUUCAUUCCUAAUUAUUGUGCUUGUAAUUAUUUCUUUCUUCCGAGUCUGCCUUAGUAAUUUUUAUCCUGCAAGGAAUUCCUGUGUCACUCUAGUUGUGGCAUUGGUUGGCACAUAAGGUUGCUCACAGUACCCCUGGUGACUUUUUCACCUCCAUACAGUUGGAGAUAAUAUCCUCUCUCCCACCCCUGAUUUUAGAAAUUGGUUUUCUAUUUUUCUUGGUCAGUCAAAUUACAGGUCAGUUAUUUUUUUAUCUUUGCAGAGAACCAGCUUCAGUUUCAUUGAUUUUUCUUUAUUGUCUUUGUGUUCUAUGCGUUGGUUAUGUUUAGAAUUGCUUGAAAAUUCCCGUUGUUGCUGCCGUAGCUCUGGGCAGGAUUUUAUUUCUGUCUUCACCUCAUUUUUCUCUUGUGGUUCCUAGACACCACACCAGUGACCCACUUGUCCCCCAGCAGAGACUGUUUUGACUGCGCAGUCUCCUGUGGCUCACCCUCUGUUGUGAUCCUGGGUCUGUGGGUAUGGUGGCUUCGGCAUGAGUAAGCUGUGGUUUACUUUUCUGCAUGAAUUUUCCUCUGUAUACUUGUACCUAUCAAAGAGAGUACUAAUUGAGAUUUACUGACGUAUUAACUGACUUAUUAAUAGAAUAGGUGCAAAGCAGUUGCUGGUCAGCCUUCAACAAAGUAUUCUGAAUGCUUCAGUGUCAAGCCACCUGCUUGCAGCACUGUACUCGCAAGUCCCAAGUAUGUGAAAGAAUGCCCUCCCUUCCCCCUGCCUGUCUGCCUGUCUGCCUGUCAUCCGCUUGCCAUACUUCAGGGAUUUCUUCUUUUGAACACUGCCAUUGAAAUUGGGAAGAAAGUAGCACUUGGAAUAGUUUCCAGGAAGACUGGGGAGGAAGGCCCUUUAAGUGCUUUCUACUCAGAAGCACCUUGCCAAGUCAGCCUCUGCAGGCCUCCAGUGCCCAGCAGUGUCUGUUUUGCUCAUGUUCCCUGUGGGUAUGGAAAGCCAGUGACCAGCUCAACAUGCAUAGCGUGGGCUGUGGUUUUCCGACCUGUCUGUUCCUGAAGAUGACCUUGCCGUCAGCCCUGGUCCUUAGUGAAGGUAGACACUGAUAUAUCAAAAGCCUGUUGGGACUAGAGGGAGCCGUGUCUUCCCCUGCCUUAACUAGCUUUGAGUAGGAAAGCCCCUUGAACUCGGCUCUGAGUUCAGCAUUUGUAGAAAACAGUGAUCUCACAAUGUCUCCAGCUUCUUUCCUGUUCCCAAUGUUUUUACUGAUAUAUACCUAUUGGUGUUUUCCUGUUGUUGCUAGUGCAAUUACUAGAAUACCCUGAAGGUCAAGGUCAAAGCUCUGUCAAUUUGUGUUCCUUUUGGGAUGAGCUUGAGCAGCCUCAUCACUGAGCCUAGGAUGGCCACAACGGUCAUGCAGGUACUUCGGGCCUUCCUUGCAGGAACAGUGAUCAGCAAGGCUGGGCCUGUCUAGGCUGUCAGGCCUGCCCGUCACCUGAAGAACAUUUAGAAAAAGCGUCUGUCUCUGGUGGUGAGUGCAGUGUCUGUGCAGGAUGUUGGUGUGGUUACCCCCUGCCCCCAGCCAUGAGCCAAUUCUGUGUGGGGGCCCCUAGCCAUUGACUCUGUCUUUGAGGUGUGACUUGCCCAUGCUGUCCUGCUUUCUGGGGAUGGGAGAACAGUUGGGUAUAGCCAGCCCUUGGAGUAUAUGGUUUAGCUGGAAGACAAUGGCAGGCUUAACUAUAGCAUCCUUUACCUGCUUACCAACCAGUAGUUUAAGCAGAACUCUAGAGCCAGGCUUGGUGGCCCAGUGAAGUAGUGGGAAGCUCAUGUCUGUUCGUGUGCCCCAUUGCCAUGGAGAGGCCUGUGUGGCUGCUUCCCUAGUAUGGCUUUGUGUGGGUGAGGGGCUGGAGCCAGGGGAAAUUGGACAGAACCUGGUCUCCCCUCUGGGGGUGGUGCAUGUCCUGUGGUUGUGAACUCAGGGCUAGGAGCUGGGAGACACCAUGAUGUUCAUUGUCUGCAGAUCAGGGCUCUAUAGCAGGAGUCAGUGCUGUCUCCCUUCUAGGGCCCGCUGUUAGUUUUGAUUCAGGCUUGUCCCAGGAGCUAACCAAGUGCAUGGCCCCUGCUGACACCCUGCCUCCUCUUGGACCUGGUCUCAGCAGGGACUGGCCUGCACCCAAUAGAUGCCUCCCUUGCUUGUGGGGAGGCUGUCUCUCAUAGUAGAUCUGAUGGAAAAGGUAUUGGCUCCUCUGUCAGAAGCAGGGCAAGGGGAAAGGCCCUGAGGGAAGGAGAUACUGUCUUCAUAGAAUGCUGCAGAGCCAGAGUUGUUCUUUCCUCACUGUGAGCAGAGAUGUUGCUGGACUGGCAUCCUGGUAGUCCUGUGAGGACAGUUUGGCAUUGUGACCAGACCUGGAGGGAGUUGCCUGGUAUUUUGAGGCUUGGAGCUUUAAUUGUUGAGUGAGAGGUAAGAUGUGAUGUUAGGAAGAUGAGAGCGUAUGAAUCAUACUCUUGUGUAUGUUGUCAUCUCUCAGGUCUGUAGUCACUUCUCAGGUUCAUAGUCGUCAUCUUUCCAGUCCGUAGUCAUCUCUCAGGUCUGUGGUCAUCUCUCAGGUCCAUCGUCAACUUUCAGGUUCACGGUCAUCUGGUCAUCUCUCAUGUUCAUGGUCAACUCUUAGGUCCCCGAAGUCAGUUCUCUGCUCUGUAGACAGCCCUCAGGUUUAUGGUCAUCUCUUAGGUCUGUGGUUACCUCUCAGGUUCAUGGUCAUCUCUCAGGUCUGUGGACAGAUCUCAAGUUUGUGGUCAGUUCUCAGGUCUGUGGUCAUCUCUCAGGUUUAUGGUCAUCUCAGAUCUGUGGACAGCUCCCAGGUCUGUGGAUAGCUCUCAGGUCCAUGGUCAGCUCUCAGGUCUGUAGUUAUUUUUAACACCUGUGGGACAGCUCUGAGGCCCGUGGUCAGCUCACAGGUCCAUGGUCAGCUCUUAGGUUUUUGAACAGCUCUGAGGCCUGUGGUCGGCUCUCAGGUUCAUAACUCUCAGGUCUGUGAUCACUUUUUGAGUCUGUGGUCAGCUGUCAGGUCCGUGGUCAGCUCUUCGGUCUGUAGUUAUCUUUCAGGUCUGUGGUCAGCUCAGCAUGUGGCCAGCUCUUAGGUCCCCGGGGUCAGCCCUCAGAUCUGUGGUCUGUUUCCAUAAGUAUGAUUUGAUGUGUUUCUGUGACACAGAACAUGAGGGAAGGUUGAUUCCUAAAGGAGUCAGAAGCAGAUAGAGAGUGCUGGCAUAGAGCAGGGCAGCCCGUGGUUUUCACAGGAUGCCUGGUAACAGGUUGUUUCUGACCUGGGCCCCAUCCAACAGGGAUCUGGACAGUCCUCAGCCUUGCUGACUUGACGUUAUGUGUGUGACUGGUAGAAAGCGUGAGAGUCAGCUAGGGAGCACGUGGGAGGACUCCUAGGAGGAGGUGGUCAGGUCUAUGAACAGCUCUCAAGCCUGUGGUCAGCUCUCAGGUCCCUGGCAGAAGAGGGGCUGGGGGAGAGGAGAUUCCACUCGCCUAGGCAGGGCAGAGGUGACUAGGGAAGGAGACAUGCAGGGUGCGGGUGAGUGGAUCUGCAGAGUGUAGGACAGUUUGGAUUUAUUUAGCAUGUAACGGGGGAGGAGGAGGAAGGGCAUCAGGACUGGAAGGUUUGGACCCUUUGGGUGACUGGGCAUGGACUGUAGGACAGACUGCACCUGUGCACACCUGCUUGAAGCAGACUCUCCUUGGCCCUGUGCCUCCACAUGGAAGUCCUGUCCCUGCGGGUAGAGGGAGGAGCACAUGAAGAAGCCUCUCCUCACCCUCUGGUCUUCCUCCACCUGGUCCUGGUUCUCUUGUCCACUCCAUGUCCUUCUCCUCUAAGCUGGUGCCCAUCUGUGCUGGGCUGUGAGGUGAGAAUCUGUUUCUUUGUGAGAUCCUGUUUUGACCUUAUCACCUGUUUUCUUUCUCCCUUUUCCUCCUCAUUCUGCUCCUCCUCCCCUAACUUCUUGUCUGGGGGUUGGUCUCAAACUGUGAUCCUCCCACCACUGCCUCCCAAGUAACUGGAAUUAUAACGGGGUGGCACCAACAUGCCUGGCCCCUCCUCCCUUUUAAAUGCAAUGCAUUUCCUUUAUCUAAAAUACUUACCAGACUCCCAUUGUAGGGUGAAAGAGUGUCCUGGUGUGAUGACAGUAGUCUGGAUUUUGGGAGUCAGAUAAGUUGGGAAGGAAAACAACGUUUUGUUCAGAUUCUGAGCUGAGAAACGGGGGCCCCUAGUGCAGCCACACCUGGUGUCUGCCCAGUGCCUGGCACCCUCCUUACCACAUAGCAGGUCAGCACAGGUCCUGGCCUUGCUGCAGGCCUGGGCCACCCAGGGCUAGUCCUGUGGGCCCAAGGACAUCUCUGUUGUCUUUUCCAUAAUAAUAAGGUAUCUCACUUGUGUGUGUAAACCAAGGAAAUUAAUCAUAAGCACGUUGGUACUCAUGAAUUU